rnacentral:rRNA from 1 species
AACGAACGCUGGCGGCAUGCCUAACACAUGCAAGUCGAACGAAGCCUUCGGGCUUAGUGGCGCACGGGUGCGUAACGCGUGGGAAUCUGCCCUUAGGUACGGAAUAACUCAGGGAAACUUGUGCUAAUACCGUAUGAUGUCGAGAGACCAAAGAUUUAUCGCCUAGGGAUGAGCCCGCGUAGGAUUAGCUAGUUGGUGGGGUAAAGGCCUACCAAGGCGACGAUCCUUAGCUGGUCUGAGAGGAUGAUCAGCCACACUGGGACUGAGACACGGCCCAGACUCCUACGGGAGGCAGCAGUGGGGAAUAUUGGACAAUGGGCGAAAGCCUGACUCAGACUAAGUCGCCGCGU